AUUUCUCUGAGAUGUUUGCAAGCGGGCCAGUCCCCUGAGCCGAUAUUCCAUACCACAAGAAUGUGGCGCUCCGCGGUUGGUGAGCAUGCUCGGUUCGUCCGAGAAGCCUUAAAACUGUGACGACACAUUCACCUUGAACCAAGGGUUCAAGGAUUACAGCCUGCGGCGGCAUCUCGGAGAUUCC
rnacentral:other from 1 species